rnacentral:rRNA from 1 species
CCUACGGGUGGCAGCAGUGAGGAAUAUUGGUCAAUGGACGGAAGUCUGAACCAGCCAUGCCGCGUGCAGGAUGACGGCUCUAUGAGUUGUAAACUUCUUUUGUACGAGAAUAAUAGUUCUUACGUGUAGGGAUGUGAAUGUAACGUACGAAUAAGGAUUGGCCAACCCCGUGCCAGCAGCCGCGGUAAUACGGAGGAUUGGAGCGUUACUCGGAUUUAUUGGGUUUUAAGGGUGCGUAGGGGGUCAGUUAAGUUAGACGUCAAAUGUCGGGGCUUAACCCCGUGCCUGCCUCUGAUACUGUUCGACUAGAGAGCGGAUGCAGCAGGCGGAAUGAGUGGUGUAGCGGUGAAAUGCUUAGAUAUUACUCAGAACACCGAUUGCGAAGGCAGCUUGCUGGUCCGCAUCUGACGCUGAUGCACGAAAGCGUGGGUAGCGAACAGGAUUAGAUACCCCUGUAGUC